AGUGAACGCUGGCGGUAGGCCUAACACAUGCAAGUCGAACGGCAGCACAGUAAGAGCUUGCUCUUACGGGUGGCGAGUGGCGGACGGGUGAGGAAUACAUCGUAAUCUACUUUUUCGUGGGGGAUAACGUAGGGAAACUUACUCUAAUACCGCAUACGACCUACGGUUGAAAGCAUGGGAUCUUCGGACCUUGCGCGAUUGAAUGAGCCGAUGUCGGAUUAGUUAGUUGGCGGGGUGAAUGCCCACCAAGGCGGCGAUCCGUAGCUGGUCUGAGAGGAUGAUCAGCGACACUGGAACUGAGACACGGUCCAGACUACUGCGGGAGGCAGCAGAGGGGAAUAUUGGGCAGUGGGCGCAAGCCUGGUCCAGCGAUACCGCGUGGGUGAAGAAGGCCUUCGGGGUGUAAAGACGUUUUGUUGGGAGAGAAAAGCAGCAGGUUAAUACCCCGCUGUUCUGACGGUACUCAGAGAAUAAGCACCGGCUAACUUCGUG
rnacentral:rRNA from 1 species